rnacentral:rRNA from 1 species
GAUGAACGCUGGCGGCGUGCCUAAUACAUGCAAGUCUAGCGAAGCGGGGACGGGUGAGUAACACGUGGAUAACCUCCUAUACGACUGGGCUAACUUCGGGCAACCGGAGCUAAACCGGAUACUUCUCGAUGGAUCCGCGCUGCAUUUGCUAGUUGGUAAGGUAACGGCUUACCAAGGGAACGAUGCAUAGCCGACCUGAGAGGGGGAUCGGCCACCGUGGAACUGACACACGGUCCAGACGCCUACGGGAGGCUGCAGUGGGGAACCUUCCGCAAUGGGCGAAAGCCGGACGAAGCAACGCCGCUUGAAUGAUGAAGGUGUCGGGAUCGUAAAACUCUGUUAUUAGGGAAGCGGUACCUAAUCAGAAAGCCACGGCUGACUCCGUGCCAGCAGCCGCGGUAAUAC